GGGUUGUGAGGUUAAGCGACUAAGCGUACACGGUGGAUGCCCUGGCAGUCAGAGGCGAUGAAGGGCGUGCUAAUCUGCGAUAAGCGCCGGUAAGGUGAUAUGAACCGUUAUAACCGGCGAUACCCGAAUGGGGAAACCCAGUGUGACUCGUCACACUAUCAUUAACUGAA
rnacentral:rRNA from 1 species